GGGGAAUUUUCCGCAAUGGGCGAAAGCCUGACGGAGCAAUACCGCGUGAGGGAUGACGGCCUGUGGGUUGUAAACCUCUUUUUUCAGGGAGGAAUCAAUGACGUGUACCUGAAGAAUAAGCAUCGGCUAACUC
rnacentral:rRNA from 1 species